rnacentral:rRNA from 1 species
GAUGAACGCUAGCUACAGGCUUAACACAUGCAAGUCGAGGGGCAGCGGUAUCGAAAGCUUGCUUUCGGUAGCCGGCGACCGGCGCACGGGUGAGUAACGCGUAUCGAACCUGCCUCAUACUCGGGAAUAGCCUUGCGAAAGUAAGAUUAAUGCCCGGUGUUUUCAGAGUCCCGCAUGAGGCUUUGAACAAAGAUUUAUUGGUAUGAGAUGGCGAUGCGUCCCAUUAGCUUGUUGGCGGGGUAACGGCCCACCAAGGCAUCGAUGGGUAGGGGUUCUGAGAGGAAGGUCCCCCACAUUGGAACUGAGACACGGUCCAAACUCCUACGGGAGGCAGCAGUGAGGAAUAUUGGUCAAUGGGCGGAAGCCUGAACCAGCCAAGUAGCGUGCAGGAAGACGGCCCUCCGGGUUGUAAACUGCUUUUAGUUGGGAAUAAAACGGGGCUCGUGAGCCCCCUUGCAUGUACCAUCAGAAAAAGGACCGGCUAAUUCCGUG